ensembl:lncRNA
GUCACCUCGGUAUGUGACCAAGCCACAGGCUCCCCUAAGCAACGAACAUCACGGUUGCCUGUGAAAGGCAACAAGUGGUGACCCCCGAUGUGAUGCUUAGGGGAACGAGUCGGCUGUCUGCUUGAUGGGGCAGGAGCCCACCGCAGGGCGUUAGGACUUGCUGGGCGGUGGAAGCCCGGGGACAAGGCCGGGGACAGAGGGAAUCUGCAGUCACCCCUCUGUCGGUGGAGGUCGCGGACGAGCGACGAAUAUAGCCUCCGGGAUCACGCCGGAGAAGAGCCUGGGAUCCUGGUCUCAAUUGGGAGGAGGAUCGGAGGCGACAUGGAAACCAUCAUAAAGUUUCUUGCAGGGGCCGUGAGGAGACGGAGCCGCCAAUGACCGUUGGCAAGAUGGCGCCGGCUGAGCCGACCGCGCUCAGUUCAAAAGAAGACAAACAACAAGAGAGUGAAUGUUUGUUGUCUCGUCCCCCUCCCCCGUAUCCGAACCCCUCAGGCGGAACGUUGUAUCCUUUAUCAGAAUUACGUCAGUGUUACCUGAUUCAAGGGGGCGGAGGAAGCUGUGAUCUACAUGGGCAGGAUCAACUUAGUGCCCACAUGGGGAGGGACCAGACAAAAGGUCCGUCCAAUGCGGACAGGGGGCAUAGCCUACCGUCUCUGGUCACUCCCAGGAGUGAUAGUGUAGAGGAGAAAGAAGGGACUGGCUUUGAGUGCAGGGGGAGGGAUCAAAUGACGGACUGGAAUGGGAUUAGAUCGGAGGCUUUGGGGAAGGGUAUAGUUCCAGAGGCAUUCCGGGUGAUUGUGAGUGAUCAUGGUCCCGAAUGGGUGCCGCCUGACCCCGGGGGUGUUACGCGCCUGGUGGAAUUUAUGGAUAAAAGAGGCCUGAAAUCGCCUCUGACAUUAAAUGCACUACAAACUUUGGCUGCACUGGGGCCUCUCCUCCCCCGUGACAUCACAAACUUAAUGCGUAUGGUGCUCAGGCUGGUUCAAUAUACGUUAUGGGAGACGGACUGGAUGGCCGAGCUGGGGGGUCGUGCCGGGGCGACAGGGGACAGCCCAGGCCGCUCCCUGCAUGAGAUCGGCAUACAGCAGCUUUCAGGGAAGGCCGUGGGAGUGGCUUCGCCCCAGGGCCAGCUAGCGAGACUAAGGCCAGGGGAGCUAAUAGCAGCCACAGAUGCAAUGGUGGAAGCGUUUAAUAAACUUGUGCAUAAGGCCGAACCACCUGCUCCGUGCACAGAUAUUACCCAGGGCCCGAAUGAAUCCUUUCAAAGCUUUACAGACAGGCUUUUAGCUGCUGCAGAGGGGUCUGAUCUCCUGGAGCCAGCCCAAGGGCCAGUGAUCAUUGACUGCCUGCAGCAGAAAUCGCAUGACAAUGUUAAGGCAUUUCUGCGAGCCGGCCGAAGUACGCUUAAUACCCCGGGAGAAGUUAUUCAGUAUGUCUUAGAUAAGCUCAAGGUGGCUCAUUUAACUAAUGAAGGGCUAGCCACAGCUAUUGUCGUAGCUGUUGGCCUGCAACAGCAAAGAUCGCUGCAGCAGCAAGGGCUGUGUUUCCGAUACGGCCAGUAUGGCCAUGUUAGAGCACAGUGCCCCUGUGGGGGAGGCCAGUGAGGGCCUCCUGAUCACAGGAAGGGCUUGCUAAAGGGUAUCCGUUGUCGGGUAUGUGGCAGUUAAACAUCAUGAAUCUGGGAAAAUUCUGUGGGUACCAUCACGAAAAGUAAUACCAGAUAUAAGUGACAUAUCUGCAAAAAGUGUGUCUAGGUGCGAGUUUUUACAGAAAUUCUUCGUUGGCAAACCGAAGCCAACUCCAGAACAACUGAGGGACAGACGAUGGGAUCGAGAAGCAUUCAUCAAGAGGAGCACUACACCUGCAACGCUGACACUUCCGAUGUUGCCGAUGUUUAUGGUGUCCCUGGCGAUUACAGCAUGUUGCAAACAACUACAAUGGACGCAAGAACAUCUGCAGAAGAUUAAAGAAGAGCGUGAUCCCUUUGGAAACUGGCUGAGCAGA